rnacentral:rRNA from 1 species
GAAUAUUAGUCAAUGCUCGAAAGAGUGAACUAGCUAACUGAAAUCAAUUAAAAAUUGAUAACAUAAGGGAAAAUAAUGAUAUUACCUUAUUAUUAGUGUCGUCCAAAACUGGUGCCAGAAGACUCGGUAAGGCCAGAGACACAAACGUUAAUCGUCUUAAUCAGGCGUAAAGGGUUUGUAGGCGGCUUUUUAAUUGACUUAUAAAUAUUAAAAUAAAUAAGUAAAAAUAAAAGCUAGAAUCAAAUAGAGGAUAUAUCAAAUAAUGCUUAGAGUAGGUCUGAUAUCCUUAGAUACUAAGUAGAAUAUUAAAGGCGAAAGCUUUUUUCCAUUAAUGAUUGACGCUCAGAAACGAAGGUGAGGAUAGGAAAUAGGAUUAGAUACCCAAAAUACCCCUCUCUGUCAACGAUGAAUGGUAGUUAUUAGUAAUAAAUUUAUUAAUAGCAAUGUUAACACGAUAACCAUUCCGCCUUGUGAGUACAACUGCAAAGUUGAAAACAAAAAAAUUAGUCGGUUUCGGAGCAAACGAAGUGAAGCAUGUUAUUUAAUUC